rnacentral:rRNA from 1 species
AACGAACGCUGGCGGCAGGCUUAACACAUGCAAGUCGAACGCUCACCUUCGGGUGGGAGUGGCAGACGGGUGAGUAACGCGUGGGAACGUACCUUUCGGUUCGGAAUAACCCAGGGAAACUUGGGCUAAUACCGGAUACGCCGGAAACGGGAAGAUUCAUUGCCGAAAGAUCGGCCCGCGUCGGAUUAGCUAGUUGGUGGGAAUGGCCUACCAAGGCGACGAUCCGUAGCUGGUCUGAGAGGAUGAUCAGCCACACUGGGACUGAGACACGGCCCAGACUCUACGGGAGGCGAGCAGUGGGGAAUAGUU